CCAUUUUCGUCCGGCCUCCUUUUUUUGGAAAUACUGUUUCUCUUCUCUCUCUCUCGUUUCCGCCCGAACUCAGAAACAGAGCACAAGCUCUUCGUGCAUUCUCUCCUCCCUCAGGCCACCAAACGGCGUCGGACCACCUCCAUUGUCUUCGUCUCGACCUUGCGCAGCUGCCAGGGGCAGCCAUGAGCCGCGACACAGCCGGCAGCGGCGGUGGGAAGCUCCGAACGGUUUAAGCCCGAUUUCGUUCCAAUCGUGAUAUCUCGAGCUACAAGCCACCAAAGCUCAUCAAACUUCACCCACAAGCUCGCCUCAACCUCCUAAAGCUUCCAAAAGCAACCUUGCACGGCGGCGUGGCCUGUGGCGGCGACUGGAAGCUCACCCCGAUCUAGAUCGAAACCGGACUGUGGAGCUUGAUAUCUCGAGUUGUAGAGGUUCGUUUUGAGUGAUUAUUGAACUGGGGAGCUCGGCAUGAGUUUCUGAACAAAUCUCCAGAAGGGAUCGAAGCCAUUGGAGGACGUUUUUACGUCGAACUGGAGCUCGCCGGUUUCUGCAGAUUUUCCGGCCAACUCGACUGUUUUGGGUUUAUUGUGCAGGUUAGAAUAUCGGGUGAUCGUUAUCGAAGCUGAGGUGGACUUUCCGUCACGUGGGUGUAGAAGGGCGCUUAUACUUGUAGUCUUCCGCUGUGUAGUGAAUUGGAUGAGUAACCUGAACAAAUUGGACUUUGCUCCAUUGGGAACAGCUGGCUCUGGAUAUCACAGGUGGGUUCGUGAUGUCUGUCAGCAUCUCAAGGCCUAUGGAAUUCUGGAUAUGAUUCUCGAGCCUAGCCAGGACGUGCUAACUGUUGAGGAAGCUCAAGCUUUGGAAGCAAAUAGAGCAGCUUUAGAGGCAAAUAAGGCGAAAGCCAUCAUCCUAAUGACUCGUCAUAUGGAUGAUUCGCUCCAGUACGAGUAUAUGAAUAAAAAAGACCCCAGAAGGCUGUGGGUCUCACUCAAAGAAAGAUUUGCCAACGUCCGUAACUCCUUGCUUCUUGACCUAGAAGUGAGAUGGCAUAGCCUCAGCUUCUGUGAUUUCAAGUCAGUUCUUGACUAUAACUCGAAAGCACUUCAUAUUAAAUCCUUAAUGGAAUUAUGUGGUAAAGA